GGGUCUCUGAAGAUGUCUCGGCAUACGGGACAAGUGAGGUCCUCCUCUGGAAGAGAAGAUGUGGUGGCCAUUUCCCCCCUCAAAUCCCACGUCUUCCUUCGGGAAAAAGAACAACCGUCCUGGCAAACCUUCACGGCACUCCAUGAACUCAGGAUGAUGAUCCCCACCACAACUGCAACUGUCCUUCUACAUACGGUUCUUCCGUGAACUCUGUUCGUCUUCAAAUAGGCACAUUCUUCUCUGCUUCCCUGGGUCCUUAAAGUGUACAAGACAGUGGUGCACUGUUUUCUGUCAUUAUACCUGCUAAAAUAAUGGUUAAUAAACAACUAAGUGGGGGCUCUAUAAAAUGUGAUUUCUUCCCCAAAUUAUGUUGAAUAUUUUCCCCCAAUUUUCUUUUUUCUGUUUUUAGAUUUUGGGGGGGUUUUCACUCUCAAAUACCAAUUGUUUGUAGAUAAACAGCACAAUUGGAUGUCCUGAGUCAAUGUCAAUGCUUAAAUCACAUCAGAAGACCAUGGAAGAAAAAUAACACUUUUAGAUUUUGGACUAAUUCCCCUUUAAUUGUGCAUCUAGCAAGUGAGGAAUUUUCCAUCUAAUGUGCAGGUCUAGUGAUGGUUCUGUACUGCUGCUGCUCAUUUCAUAGCAAAGUUUGCAAGACAACUUUGCAGUUAACAUUUACUUGAGAAGGUUUUAGGGAAAGUAUUUCUGUCAACCCACAAGACAGUUAUAACAUCAACUGGCAUCAGUCUUUACUGUGAGACGUCGAUGAAUCAAAUGUUAUUUGUCACAAUGCAACAGGUAUAGUACACUUUAGUUUGAAAUGAACCACAGGACUUCAUGCCAUGCAUUACAUAACACUUAGAUUUACAUUUUGGUAAGUGAUGGCAGGGUUGGUGUUGGUGAGCGGAUACAAUUAUCAAGAAUCUUGUCAUAGAAUGCAACACAAUCAGGCAAAAUAAAUGUCAAUGGUUAUUGGAAUUUAUUUUUCAACAAAAAUGUUAUACCCCCCCUGAGAAUGACAAUAGAAUUGUUAUGGAGUCAUUUUGUUACUGUGGUAGCCUUACUAACAUUGUAUGAAAAUUAAAGACACUUUCCAAUAAAAUAUUUUUACAAUUUCUGGAUACACAA